CAGUAGCCACGGGAAUACAGAGGGUGCAAGCGUUAAUCGGAAUUACUGGGCGUAAAGCGCGCGUAGGUGGUUUGUUAAGUUGGAUGUGAAAGCCCCGGGCUCAACCUGGGAACUGCAUCCAAAACUGGCAAGCUAGAGUACGGUAGAGGGUGGUGGAAUUUCCUGUGUAGCGGUGAAAUGCGUAGAUAUAGGAAGGAACACCAGUGGCGAAGGCGACCACCUGGACUGAUACUGACACUGAGGUGCGAAAGCGUGGGGAGCAAACAGGAUUAGAUACCCCCGUAGUCCCUGUCUCUUAUAC
rnacentral:rRNA from 1 species